CUUGCCGAACCUCGUAAAAUCCGUGUGCAUUGUUUGUUUUGUUUUUUUCAUUAUCUUCUGCAUCGUUUUAGGGUUGCGUUUCUACAUUUUCUUCAUUUCUUGUUCAACAUGGGUCUUCAAAUUGGAAGUAUGUUGUUUUUCAUGACAUGAAUUAGAUUUAUCACAUUGAGUGGUUACUAUUAGUUUUUGUUAGUCUCAUCAAUCUACCAUCUUUGAAAUAUGUUUGGUACUUUUUCCAUUUGGUCAUAUUAUUGUUAACAUUGUUUUUCAAUGCAACUGGAGGUCUGCUAUGAUUGCGAAGGGUGUUUUAUUUCCAUGGUGAAAGUGACGAAAAUUAGGAGGGGGCUAAAAUCCUAAGGUCCAACAAGUUUUGAUGGCUGAAAUGAGUUCAGUGAAGCUAAUUUAUUUUACUACUUAUCAGUCAAAGCAAGAUAUUCAUGAAGUCCCCUGAACAGAUUUGAUAAAAGUAAAAUUUUAACCAUGAGGAUAUGUGGCAUAAGGCAAUCAGACCGUCAGAUAUAAAGAAGAAGAUCGAGAAAAUUUGAUGUGGGCCUUGGGGUGAGAGAUGUAGCCGCAUCUAUGAUAGAGAAGGUGGGUUGGUUAGAAAAAUGAAUAUCUAACUGAAAUCAUGUUUCCUUCAAAGUGCCCUGGUCUAGCAUUUCCUUCACAAUCACUCUCUCAAAUCAUAAAAUGACGACUGAAGCUCCAUGGACAGCAGAAAAUUAUAGUGCUUGGUGGCCUUCUCUUAUCUGAGAACAGAGAAAGCCUAUCUAGCAGACACAAAAGGAAUCCUUUUAAACUUUUUGGGUUCUUCCCAUUGUCAAUAAUCUAUACCCUCUACUACCUGUCUUUUACAGUCCUCCACUACCCAGUGUUUUCAAAAGAAGUGUAGCAGAAGAAAUGGUUGUUGGUUUUGCUCUGGCAUUAGUUUUUUAUGACCCCAAAAAGCGGAUUUUUCUGUGCGAUCUUGGGUGUUGGUACCUGGGUGACCGUUUGGCUCAGCAGUAGCUUUGGCAUAUUAAUCUGCUUCAGUUUCUAACCAUGUGUUAAUAUGAUACCUAUAGGACUGCCAUUUUGACCUAGGUUGAUUGUGCAUAAUCAUGUAUUAUAUAUAAUGCAUUCCUACAAGAUGAGAAUGAUGAGGAUAUAAUAUAUGGUAUGUUUAGAAAUGUUCUUGCCUGUAUUACCAACCCCACAACCUUCCCUGGGAAAAAAAAAAGAAAAAGGAAAAUUCUCUUUUAACUUUGCUUCUCUAUGGAUGUUGCAGAGAAAAGAGAUUCUCGGGCUAUGCCCUGCUAUUGAUAACACUGUACAAGCUUCCAAGCUUUGAUUCUGUUGAUGACUUCAUGCAAAAGGUGGCCACUGUGAGGGUUUAGCUCAAAAAGGGUGGUGUUGUGGAUGUCGAAGCCACAACAAUAAUAAUUCUGCAUGACUGGAAUGAGGUAAGGUUAAUGCACAUGCUUUGAAGACAGUUCAUUUAGCUGGAAAAUAUGGCAUUUUAGCCAAGGAGUAGAUUAUGCAAGUUAGCAAAAGCUAUUGAUCGAGCAUGCACCCAUGAGAGCAAAAGCGAAGGAUCAAGUGUUACCCGUGUAACUUCUUGUAGAUAUUAACAUAGGUAAAUAUAUUCAUUUUGCACAUCAAUAUUGUUAUUUAAUAUAAAUGAAAACAUUGAAUCGUAUAAUUGAAGUGCAGUUAAUUUUUGUUCUUUACAUUUUC